CCACAGGGAAAGUCUGAGGGUGGAAGUCUGGAUGGCAUCCGAUUCAAAUUUCUCCAUGAAAACAUGGGAAAACAAACCCAGUGCGCCUCAUUUCACCUGCGAGCAAAGCAAAAAAACUCUGGAAGACAUCUUUGAAGUGCAGGAGCGGGCGACCAGUGACCCGUGUGCCUGAUGCCAGCUCGCCGUACAAGACAUCCUUGGGUAAUCUACCAUCCUGCAUGCGGCGCACUUGUCCAAGCCAUCUAAGGCGCCUAUGACUGAGUAGAGAGUACAUGCUGGGAAUGUUGGCCAAGUUGAGGACUGAGGUGUUGGGAAUGCGAUCUUGCCAUCUGAUACCGAGGAUGAGCCUGAGACAUCGGAGGUGGAAUGUAUUUAGUCGAUGUUCUUGAUUGGCGUAUGUUGUCCAGGACUCAAAGAGGAGGGUGCUAAGGACACAGGCCCGAUACACCUGUACUUUGGUGUUGAGCAUUAGAGAAUUGUUGUCCCACACUCUUUUGGUCAACCUGAACAUAGCUGCAGACGCCUUCCCAAUGCGCUUGUCAAUCUCUGUGACAAGGACAAAUUGCAGGUGAUGGUGGAACCCAAGUAGGUGAAGUCCUGAACGACUUCCAGGGUGUAGCUGCCAAUGUUUAUGGAAGGAGUGUCUCUGAUAUCCUGGCCUAUGACAUUGGUCUUUUUCAGACUGAUUGUCAGGCCAAAGUUGUUGCAGGCAUUGGCAAGGUGGUCGAUGAGUUUCUGCAAACCUUGUUCUGUGUGAGCUGUCAGUGCGGCAUCAUCAGCAAAUAGGAGUUCUCUGAUGACGACUCUGCGGACUUUGGUUUUGGAUCUGAGGCGGCCAAGAUUGAACAGUUUGCCAUCAGAUCUUGUAUGGAGAAAGUCUCCCUCUUCUGCUGUCCCAAAGGCAUGUGUGAGCAGAAGUGAGAAAAUAUGUCAAACAGUGUUGGGGCAAGCACACACCCCUGCUUUACACCGCUGAGUAUGGGAAAUUCUUCUCAGGUGGUGCCGCUGUGCUGUAUUGUUCCUUUCAUGUUAUGGAAAGAGGAGAUGAUUGCCAGCAGCUUCGGUGGGCAGCCGAUCACUUUGAGGAGUUUGAAGAGGCCUCCCCUACUGAUGAGGUCAAAGGCUUUUGUAAGAUCAAUGAAUGCCAAGUACAGGGGCAUUCUCUGUUCUCGACAUUUCUCCUGUAGGUGACGCAAGGAAAAGAGCAUGUCAAUUGUGGACCUUCCUGCUCUGAAGCCACACUGAGCCUCAGGAUACGUCCUCUCAGCGAGUAUCUGUAACCUGCUGAGGACCACACGGGCAAAGGUUUUCCCUACGAUGCUCAGCAGGGAGAUGCCACGGUAGUUAUUGCAGUCCCCACAGUACCCUUGUUUUCAUAUAGGGUGAUGAUGUUGGAGUCUUUCAUGUCUUGAGGCAUUGCUUCUUCUUCCCAGCACUGGCAGAUAAGUUCAUGAAGUUUUGUGAGAAUGGCAGGUUUCGCACAUUUCAGUACCUCGGGUGUGAUGCCGUCCUGUCCCGGGGACUUGCCAUUGGCUUGUGAGUUGAUGGCAUUGUCAAGUUCCUUCAAGGUUGGUAGGGGCUUUACAGCAGCAAGGGCAGCUUCUGACACACCGUUGUCUCGUGAGUUGAGCUCUGAGUAGUGUUCUACCCACUUGGCCAUUUGCUCUUGUUUAUCAGUGAUGAUGGCCCCUGUGCUGGAUUUAAGGGGGGCAGUCCUCCUGAUGUUUGGACCAAAGGCUGUCUUGAUGCCUUCAUACAUGGCACGGAUAUUGCCAGUGUCAGAGGCAAGUUGGAUCCUACUGCUGAGGUUCACCGAGUAGUUGUUGGCGCAGCGUCUGGCGGUCGUUUGAGCUGCACUGUGGGCAGCUUGGAGGAUGGGUUCCAAUAUAGCCAGGUGUUCCUCUUGGUAGAGUUGAUGCGUAGGUAGUGCUUUUGUUUGAGGUGGUGUAUCUUUUUUGGGCGUAGUCUGACCUUGCUGGAUACCAGCAAGUGAUGGGUGUCACAGACUGCACUGUGGUAGCUGCGUGUGAGUACUGAGUUGAGGAGAGCUCGUCGGAUGAUGACGAGGUCCAGUUGGUGCCAAUUAAGAGACCUUGGAUAUCUCCAUGAUACUUUAUGGCAUGGUUUUGUGAGAAAGAAUGAGUUUGUGAUACAGAGAUUAUGGUAUGAACAAAGCUCCAGUAGUCUUUAGCCAAUGGCAUUCAUCUUUCCAAUGCCGUGAUAGCCAAGGCAUGCGGGCCACGCGUCAUGGUCAGCCCCAACCCUUGCAUUGAAGUCUCCCAACAGAAACAUGUGCUCAUAGCUGGGGAUUUUGCGAAUAAUAUUGUGAAGCUCUUCAUAGAACUGAUCAUGAAUCUCCGUAGAUGAGUAGAGUGUAGGGGCGUAGGUUUACAUGGCCAGAAGCAGUGAGCAGUCUCAUGAGCAGAAUCCGCUCGGAGCCUGCAGUCGGUGGUUCUAUCAUGCCAAGGAGUGUGUUUUUGAUGGCGAACCCAACACAGUGUUGCCUUGGUUCAUUCUGCUGUUUUCCUUGCCAGUAGAAAGUGUAGUCACUCUCUUGUAGUGAGCCACUGCCAGCAAGUCGGGUCUCCUGCAGUGCUGCAAUAUCCACAUGGAGUCUCGCCAGCUCCUUGUCGAUAACUGCAGUCUUGCGGAUGUCUCCAAUCUGCAAUAGAUCUUCAGAGAGUCCAGAACACAUUGCACGUACAUUCCAGCUUGCAAAAUGAAGGGCUGGAACCUUAUUUCGUUUUGUUUUGCUUUUGUCUGGUGCAGGUGUUGCAGCCCACUUGUCUGGUGAUGAACCAUAAGCUCAAAGCACCCAUUGGAGCAGGUGAGCUGUGGCGGGAAAGCACCUUAUUGGCAGGGGGCUGCCCAGCUUGAGGCGGGCGGUAGCUAUCCAUUGGGGUGCAAUGACCCCUCCCACCGACGAUGGCAACCCGUGGCACCCAUUUUUUACGCCAAUCUAAAAUGAGCUUAUAACCCGUGACUGCUGCCAUCCGUGUUUCUUGGCCACGAUUAGGUGGCCGAGGAGUGUCCUCUCCCUAUUUUUGCACCUCUUGUUGGCGCAAAGCCUGGGCAGGUUAUUUUGGAAAUCCUGGGUUGCCCAUGCGUCAGGAUCCCCCCUUCGGCCUUGCUGGUGAUGUCCAAAAGAGUGCGUAGCACGACGUUUGGUACCAGUUUGGCUGCAGGGGCUGCCGGGAAUGUGCCGCAGUGCAUUACAAAACCGCCUGAGGGGCCCUACUCCUGAUUUUCUGUAGGAGUUUACUCCCUUAGCCAUUGACUCUCCCGAGACACAAACAAGGCAGUGAGAAAACCACGUAACCCUGGGAUGGGCCCUUACCAGGUACUGACAGCCGGGCCAGCUGUGCCUGGGAAUCGUGUAAGGCAGGGUUGUCACGCCCUGAGGUAGUUUAUCACAAACUACAUUGGACGGAAGAUGAGGCACUAAUUGCUCUGCCGACUGUUUUGGACGACAACGCUCUUGCUGUCUUCAGGGCUAUUCCCGCAGCUAAGAAGGCUACAGUUAAAAGUGCUUGUGCUGAGAUAGCGGACGUGUAUGAGCCGCCUUCCUACACACGCAGGAAGUUUCUUCAGAGGAGGCAAGGGGAGGCCGAGACGCCUACUGCAGCGUGCUGUUUGGCGCUGGCGGGAGCAGCUUACCGCAUAGUGGAUACUGAAGCCCUCGACUCGCUCGUCAUGGAAAGGAUGUUGGGACUGGCAUGAGAAAUUGGUGUGUUUUUACCUGUGUGUGACAAAGACGUACAGACGUCCCUGUGGGCCACCAGGUGUCUUCAGGCCCACGAGAAUCUGCAGCGAUGGGCUCAAAUAGCGGUGUGGACAGGGGAUCACAGCCAAGAUGGGGAACCGAAGGGGUGGUUGCCAUGGAAAGUCGUGGUGCCUCCGCCUGAUGAUGCGACUUCGGAGGUGGAUGUCGCUGCUGCGUUCCUGGUGUGGAAUCGGAGUAGAGGGGAUGCUGCACGGCGUAAGUGGAGCUGGAGACCGCGUUAGCAAGAAUAUUGGAUGGCGCGGAGGCCCUCACUUACCGGCUUUCGCUCCGGCCAGCCGGGGCACUUCGCACGAGGAUGUCAGAACCGUCCUUGGGCAGCGACCACAACUUCAGCACCCACUGCUCCACAGACGGCUACAUCUCAACCCCAACAGGCGAAUCGAGACACAUCAGACACCCGGCCCAUUUUUCAAUCUCAGACAUCUAAGGAUUCAGGGGUCAUUUCCACUCAGCAUGACGCACACAUUGACACCGGACAGUGAAAUCCUGUUGCGCAUGGGCGGCCUAGCUAGGGGAUGGAGUGGAGGAAAUUGGCGCGUUGGGUGGUCGCGGCAGCUGCAGGUUCCUCGGCGGUAUCUGGUUCUAUUCAGGGUGCUAAGGUUCAUGUCUUGGUGGACACCGGAGCCUCAGCCACCAUUAUUUCCGAUGUCGUAAAUGCUUGUGUCGCGGUGAACGGUGGGAGCAUGGGCAUCGUUGGACAAGUGGAGGCCCGUACCAAAUUGGCGAGGUCGCUUUGGUCAAGCCCAUACGAAUCUCAAGAACGCUGGCAGUGCCCUGCCUUUUGGGUACCGAUAAAAAAAAAUGCCUGUUAAGAUCCUGGUCGAUCAGGGUUGUGUGGAAAUGCUAUUGGGUCGCAAGUUGUUUUUUUUGGCGUCUUCCCAUGUGAAUACGGCUACGUGUGUCAAGGUCCAAGCCCUUGUUACGGACUCGGUGGAGAUCCCGCCAGGCUCACAGAUGCUUGUACCGUUAUGCUAUCGCAAACAGUUGGGAAAGGUUGAUCCGAAGGUGGGUGUCCUGACUCCGUCGAAUACGGCGACCCAUGGAUUGCCGCUAGUAGACGCCUAGACGGUCCUUUGCCCCAACCAAGCGCCAUUCUUACAAGUGCUUAAUGUGUGUCCGGGUAUGGUUGUGGUCCAGGCAGGUACAGUAUUGGCUCACACUACUACCACAUUUUGUGAGAAUAAUGCCAAUUCCGAAGCUGGCGUUACCUUGGUUUAGUAAGUUGCUAGGCUUUGAGAUAUCUACAAAUUCGAAUGUUCACAAACGUAUACAAAAAGCUAUGGUAAUAUCAUUAAAAGCUCAUUUCAACCCUUGGCAUGUCCAUCAAGACACAUGAUACUGUAAAUAGAACAUAUCCAGAGCAAUAUAAAUAUAAAAAAACUAUAGUAUCUAAUGAAGCAGCCAAAAUCAUACCAGAGCAUUGUUUGUCUUGAGAGACUAUAUUUCUCAGUGAGUAAAAAUAUAAUAACCUAUUCACUAGGGAAAGAGCUGUUGUUAUUGCUCGUGGACAUCCAGUGCAUAAGAGAACAUAGUGUGUAAUUACUGCCAUUUUAAGUGCUAUGUUUGAGAAGGACUUGGGGGGUUUGAUUGACGACCAUGCAAACGAGGGUUGAUUGCCUUCUUGAAGAUGGAAAAUUAUGAAAACAUGGAUAAUUUGCAGAGUUUAUCCCGCUGGAAGAGAAUAAACGAGAUUUCAGCAGGAAUAUGUAAAGAUAUUGUCACAUCAUUGAGACAGCGAUGGAAGUGACAAGCAAGAAAUGCUAACUACCUCAUAGGAUGUCGUGGGUUCGAAUCUGACCCUGACGGCAGUAUAUUUGUAGUUUACAAUUUCUCCUCGUGGGUGCGUAGAUAUUUAUCCGGGUCCCCUGAUUUUUCCCUCCACAUUUAGAUGCAUGUGUUAAGAGUAUUUGGCUGCUAUAAACUUCCACAUUGUAAGCCACUUUGGUGAGCCAUAUUUUGUAGCCAGGUUGCUUCUGAAAAAGAUAUAUAUUGCUCAAUGGGCCUUACCUGGUAAAAUAAAUAAAAAAAUAGUUAAUUUUAAUAGUUUAAAAUAGAAAUGCAUCCGUGUGCACGUCCAUCUAACAAAUGAAGCAAUCGAAUCAGCAUGUAUGUAGGUGCUAAGGCUAAAGCAGAUUGUUAAAUCGCAGGAUCGUUAGACAUGGUGACAGCUUGGGAAGGUUAUCAUUGAGCAGUGGAUUUAUCAUGGCUGAUGAUGCAUUUGAAAAGGAUUAAGGUUGAGAAGCAGAGCCGAGUGACAGAACACAACAUAAAAAUAAAGACUGUGUACCAUCUACCCAAUGCAUUUUACCUAUGCCACUUCUUUGUUGACAUUCAUCACGAUAAACUAUGUCAAAGUAUAUGUUUUUUACGUUUAAGUUGUAUAACUUAACAGUUGGAUCAAUAUCAUGCAUUCAUGGUGCUCAUUUUGCAUUCCUGCUAUAUUCCAGUGUAUUACAUAUCCGAUAACAUUAUGACAUAGGUAUAUUUAAUAUAAGAAAGUGAAUUACAAGUGAAAUACUUUUAAACAAAUCAGGAUAAGAAACGGAGUUAUUGGUUGAAAAUGUGGCAUGGUGACAACAUAAAGGAAUACAAUCUUGCAAAACAAAUGCAUGCAAAAGUAUUUUUGAAAACAAAUAUAGAGUUUACUCUUGAUUUGAAGCUUUCGUGACUGCUGUGGUUGUCCCACCUGAUGAAGAUUGCUUAUGUUGCGAUCGAAACGUCGUGAUUUGUUUUAUUUUAUUUUAUUUAUAUCUACGUGACUUUACCGAAAGAACCAAAGAGUAAUAUAGAGUUUAUUAUGCAAUUACAAAGUGUGAGAAAUACCACAAUUAUGCUCAGGGAUCUUCACUUCAAAUAUGUAAUGGAAUAAACCUCGGCAAAAUGGUAAAUUAACCCUCAACAGUGUGAUAAUAUGCCACCAUUCCACAUUCUUCAGUUUAUGAAUGUUUUGCAGCAAUGCCAUUUGAGCACAUAAUUAUUUCAGUACCAUAUUUUUAGGUUGAUCACAUAUCGUAUUGUUCUGUACUUUUAAGCUCUUGAACAUCCCAUAUUACUCAUUUUAAAGUUUCAUCACCAGCUGUUUGUAUUGUAUCGACCCUAAAAAUAAUUACUUUUCUUUUAAUGAGGAAUCCAUUUAAUUGCCAUCUUGCAUAUGCAGACUCAGGGAAUACAGAUAGAUGUUGUCACCACCAAAGAGUACAUGUAUCUACCAAAUAAAAACGGGUAAAAGUGAAACUUUGAAAAUAAUUAAAGUAGUUUGUCAUUGUUGAACAGGUAUUCUUGCAAAAUUGAUUUUUAUUAAGAUACUGUUACAUACAAAGGAGGACAUUAAAUCAUACAGCAUUGCACAUAAUCUGUAUGCAAGUAAUGUUUGUUUUUUGCUAUUGGUCAAAGCUGCCCCUGGUGCAUUUCCCAACGCCUAGC